ensembl:lncRNA
AUUUUUGGGUGAAAGGUGGUAUGUUCAGGGAGAAAAUGUGCGAUUUUCCUUUGAAACGUAGAAUUUUCGUGAAAAAAAUGCGUGGUUCUUGGGAGAAAUGGGGUUGCUUCGCGCAGAAAAUGCGUGAUUUUCGGGGGAAAGGUGGUAUUUUCGGGGAGAAAAUGAGUGAUUUUCCUUUGAAAGGUGGUAUUUUCGGAAAAAAAAUGCGUGGUUCUUGGGAGAAAUGGGGUUGCUUCGCGCAGAAAAUGCGUGAUUUUGGGGGGAAAGGCGGUAUUUUCGUGGAGAAAACGCGUGAUUUCUAUUUAUAAAGUUGCAUUUCUGGAAAAAAAAGCCGUGAUUUUGUGUUGAAAUGCGGUAUUUUUGAAGUGAACCUACGUGAUUCUCGUGCGAAAAAUGGUAUUUUUAUGGUAAAAAUGCGUGUUUUGGGGGUAAAAUUUUCUAAGAGAAAAUG